rnacentral:rRNA from 1 species
AUGACAAUGAUUGUUGAUACGAUGAUGUAUCAUACAAUGAAGGAGGAGCUUAUUAGACACCAGGAAGCAACCCAAUUCUGGUACCAAUGCUAUCAGAUGAGCGAACAUGAUAGGAUUAUGCUUCAGGGAGCACUAAAUGCUAUGCCUGGAGGUCCUCUGAAUCCUAUAAUAGUACCAGGUGAUGUUCAAGAGGAAGAAGAGGAGGAUCCAGAGGAAGUAGAACCAGAGGAACCGGAAGAAGUUGAGGGAGUAGAGAACCCAAAUGAGCCACUAGUUCCACCCCCACCAAACGUACCACCUACACCACCCCAGCCACUACCUGAGCAUAUAGAUGAACCAGAAUCAGCCCUACAGCCAGAUAUAGAGCAGCAGCAGCUACCCCACUUCCCUAUCCCACGACCACACCAACCUGACUUUAUCCACCCACACAUGAGUGUCAGCUCGAGGGAGUACAGGGAGGCUGCUACCUAUGCAAGGGUACUUGGGCUUGGCACGAGUGGUAGCGGAGGAAGCAAUGGAAGUGGCAGCGGUAGCAACAAUGGCGGUGGCAGCAGCAUCAUCUAA